UCUUUUGUCAGUUUCCAAACCGUGUUUCCAGAUUCUUUGAAAAAUAUCUGGUUUUUGACUUCUUUAUCAAGUUCUAGAUCGAUCUGAACUUUACCCCAAUUUUCAGUUCUGCAAUUUGCCCUUUCUGGAAGCAUCCUUCUACACCGACAUCAACUCUUCCAGACUAUAAAUUGAAAUCAGCAGAGGUGAAGCAGCCUGAAACGUGAGAAGCAUCCAAGAGAGGUAGACGGUUUUUAGGUAGCAUUCUGUUUUCUCUCUUUUUCUCUUCUACCAAUUUUUUUACGUUCAUGUCUCGAUCUUUUUCUGUGUUGAUUUCAAUGAUCUUCUUCUGUGUUGAUUUGAAUGAUUUUUAUUCUAAAUAGAAGUUUGGGUUAUGGGUUUCUUGCCUUUGCCUUUGUUCUGAGUUUCUAACCUUGGAAUUGAUUGUAGGCUAUGUAGAAAUACUCCUCAUUCUUUCUUCUUUUCAUGAUCAGACUAAUCAGCAAAAGAAGAAGAGGUUUCAUUUUCAGCCAAGGCAAAAUAAGUAUUGAGGUUCUUUUCUUAUUGGUAUUGGGUGUUCUUCGAUUAUGUUGGAUUGUGGUUUUCAUUGAGUUAUUUGUUUGUGAAUUUUAUGCGACACUAGAUGGUGGCUCACUUGAUUUGAUGGCUUCAAUUGUAUGAUGCCUAUUUUCAUUUUUUUUUUUCUACUGGUAAGUGAUAAGAUUUUGAGUUUGUGAUGACGUGAGAGGUUCAUAACAAAUUCUAUAUAUACUCUAAAGUUACCAACUGAUGUAUGAACAUUACCGAAGAACUCAUAGAUUACAGCAGAAACAAAUAGAAGGAACUCAUUAGAAAUCAAAACUCUGUUUUUCUUAUUAUUCUAUUAGUUUUUAUGUAAUACGGCUUCUAUUAGAUUAUCUAUUGUUCUCAAUUUUAAACUGAUACCAGUUUUUAUCUUCUACAGAUUCUGUUUGCUCUGCAAUUUCACAUCUAGGUGAUUAAUUACAACAACUUCAAGUUAUGGCACCAAAGAUGAGGCACAGCAAGAUGAAGAGAUUAUUACAAGAGCAUCAGGCUGGAGAUCAUAAUGAUAGAGAAAGAAUGCAAGAAAUGUAUGAAUGUCAGAAUCUUUAUACCAGUGUAACUAAGGCUGAAGGUGCUGUUUCCAGUCUAUAGAUUAAUUAUUGAAUCUUAAGUGUUCCAUUGAAUGAAUGCUUUAGCUGCAAAAUCAAGCUAACUAACAUUUUUUAGAUCUGAAUCAAGAAUUUGAAUGAAAUUCAUUGGGUGCAUUUUCUCUAGCUGCAA